CACGUAGGCGGAUACUUAAGUCAGGGGUGAAAUCCCGGGGCUCAACCUCGGAACUGCCUUUGAUACUGGGUAUCUUGAGUCCGGGAGAGGUUGGUGGAACUCCGAGUGUAGAGGUGAAAUUCGUAGAUAUUCGGAAGAACACCAGUGGCGAAGGCGGCCAACUGGCCCGGUACUGACGCUGAGGUGCGAAAGCGUGGGGAGCAAACA
rnacentral:rRNA from 1 species